rnacentral:rRNA from 1 species
AGCGAACGCUGGCGGCAGGCCUAACACAUGCAAGUCGAACGGAUCCUUCGGGAUUAGUGGCGGACGGGUGAGUAACACGUGGGAACGUGCCCUUUGGUUCGGAACAACUCAGGGAAACUUGAGCUAAUACCGGAUGUGCCCUUCGGGGGAAAGAUUUAUCGCCAUUGGAGCGGCCCGCGUCUGGUUAGCUAGUUGGUGAGGUAAAGGCUCACCAAGGCGACGAUCAGUAGCUGGUCUGAGAGGAUGAUCAGCCACAUUGGGACUGAGACACGGCCCAAACUCCUACGGGAGGCAGCAGUGGGGAAUCUUGCGCAAUGGGCGAAAGCCUGACGCAGCCAUGCCGCGUGAAUGAUGAAGGUCUUAGGAUUGUAAAAUUCUUUCACCGGGGACGAUAAUGACGGUACACGGAGAAGAAGCCCCGGCUAACUUCGUGCCAGCCGCCGCCGUAAAAC